CGGACGGGUGAGUAACGCGUGAGGAACCUGUCUCAAAGAGGGGGACAACAGUUGGAAACGACUGCUAAUACCGCAUAAGCCCACGGCUCGGCAUCGAGCAGAGGGAAAAGGAGUGAUCCGCUUUGAGAUGGCCUCGCGUCCGAUUAGCUAGUUGGUGAGGUAACGGCCCACCAAGGCGACGAUCGGUAGCCGGACUGAGAGGUUGAACGGCCACAUUGGGACUGAGACACGGCCCAG
rnacentral:rRNA from 1 species